AGCUCAAUAGGUGCUGUUCAUCGAGGGUACUCAACCCUCGCAACAAAACCAAAACCACAACAGGCAGCGUCAGCAGCAACCACCACCAAAAUUUGGCAGUGGGCAGAGGGGCGGUUACGCCGAAAGAGGAAGAGGCCGAGGUAGAGGGCCUCCGAGGCCACAUAACCAAAAUAAUCAGCCUUGAAUGUUCUAUUGUACCUUCUAUGGCAAGUAGCUUGACCACACAACUAAUUUUUACCUAGAAACAAAAAAGACCCUCGAGAGAAUAGCCGAAGACAAAAAAGUAGCCACAACACCCAAAACCAUCCACCAUACUACCUUUUGGCCACAACAGCCACACUUACCAAACCCCAACCUUGCAAAUUUUCAACCCGCCAUGAUGUGGCAACAUACACCACAAUUCCACCCUCAAACUUAGCAAGCGUCGCAAACCGCGAGCUUCGCGCCUUCCCAGCCUCUUCACGAAAUACCACUACCUCUA
rnacentral:lncRNA from 1 species